rnacentral:rRNA from 1 species
CACGUAGGGGGCGAGCGUUGUCCGGAUUUAUUGGGCGUAAAGAGCUCGUAGGCGGCUCGGUAAGUCGGGUGUGAAAACUCUAGGCUCAACCUAGAGACGCCACCUGAUACUGCUGUGGCUAGAGUCCGGUAGGGGAGCAUGGGAUUCCUGGUGUAGCGGUGAAAUGCGCAGAUAUCAGGAGGAACACCAGUGGCGAAGGCGGUGCUCUGGGCCGGUACUGACGCUGAGGAGCGAAAGCGUGGGGAGCAAACAGG